rnacentral:lncRNA from 1 species
GAGAAAUAAGUGAUCAAAAUAAGACUAAGAACCACCAUAACUUGAUCUUGGCAUAUCCUGCAAAUCAAAGCACACACAAACGUUUAUACGUUAGAGGUGGAGCAGGCGGUGCCGACAAUCGCAUUCCGACGCCUAAGUAAGACUUUGAGCAAUAAGGGAUUGCCUCAAGGUCGAAAUUAGACCUUGAAGCUGAUAAAAAAUGACAAAAAUGAUUUGUGUAUCCUUUGAGGAAGAGAGUGAUAGCAAUGUUUUUGGUUGAAUCAAAGUUGAUUACCAUUGGAGAGCAUGUCUUGAGCAUUUUAGGAGUAUGCCGGAGGGUCUUUUCGUAAUUCUAGACAUGUGGUGCUAGUUGAUUCGGUUUUCCUCCCUCAGGUGAGAGUAUUUUGGAGAUUGUAAUUGUGGUCCCGAGAUGGUGAUGUGCUUCAGGGGAGACAAAAAAAAAAAAAAAAAAAAUAAUAAUUUUAUUAAAAUUUUAUAUUUAUAAUAUAUUAUUAAUUUUUAUUUUUUAAUUAUAAUUUUUUUUUAUAUAAGAUUUGUAGUUUAAAAAUUAUAACACUUCAAUUCCAAUUUCAAACAGGUAAGCAGUUUGCAGAAAGUGAUCGUUUUGUACCUGUAAUUCCUUCCGCAAUGCCAUAUCCAUAUACAAUUUUCCAACUCCUGGACUUUCUUUUUCCUCGCUUCUAGUUCUCUGUAGGAAGCAGCAGCCUUCCUGCAAAUGGAAAAUAUAUACAUAUAUUAUUACUACCCCACAAAAGGGGAAGCAAAAUGGGCCCACCAAUCAAUAUGAAGAUAUUUACGCAUUUGCAGCCAAAAAAAGGAACUACAGUCAUUUUAAUGAAGAAAUACAAUUACUUGGUUGACUUUUCAGAAUGAAUAGGUAUCAACCCAGCAAAGCUUCAAAGUUCAAACUGCCACACUAAGACAAGACUUAUAAUUGUUGUCUGAGGGCAAUAACUAGAGACAAAUUAUCAAAAAAGGCCCAUUUCUUCCAUUAACGAAGCUAGCUGAAUUGUCACCACAUGCAUGCACAAUCCUUACACGAACUUUAUGUCACCAAAAUUAUCAAGGGAAACUAGCAGACGAAGCAUUAACUAAUAAAGUACCUUUGUCCCACUCUUCCUAAGUCCUAUCUAAUUUGAUCCUCAGGCACUGCUUAGCCAGCACUUCGGAUUUUAUCCUCAGGGUCUACUUGUGUGUGGGGGACGGGAGGUUCAGAAACAAAAUUGAUGGAAGGAAGAUCACAAAACAGGAUCUAUAUGCCAUCAGGAUGUACUCAUACUUGCGUGAAAAGAGCAUCACAACAAAAAAUGACAUUUCUUUUUCCCCUCACUCUUAAUCUUAGGCUGCAAUGGUGGUUUAAAGUAUGUACAUUGAAAAAAAAAAAAUAGAUCCAUAUAUAUUUUUUAAAAAUUUUUCCCAUUCAUACAAACCAGCUAUAUAUGGUAGUUUAAGCUGUAAGGUACGAACCUUUCAACUAAAACCUCCCUUCAUAUUAUCAUUGCAGGAAAAGGCCCACUACACACAACCAAAUGCAAGCAACUGAAGACACACUUUUUCACCCAAAAAUAUAUAGCUGGGUGUCUACCAGUUUGUAUGGUAAGGAAUGGGCCUUUUUUGAUGCACCUGCCAUUUUCAGUUGCGAAGCUCUUUUAGAUAAGUACAGAGCAGGAACCUUAUGCAAGUUUCUUCUUAUCCUCUUGCCCAGAACUCAACUCAACCCAAUCUUACCUUAGUUUCUGCAUAAGGUUCCUACUCUGUACAAGUUCUUAGUGCUUUAUCUUACUCUUGGAACAACCCAACCCUAACUGUGGACUCUGUUUCUAGUGGGGACCGCAAUUUUAAUUAGCAUUUAAAAUUGGAAAUACUCAUAAAAAUUUGGACACAAGUGCAACUUCAGGCUGUGGAAAAUAAUGUGAUCAGGAAUGUCGUCAGACGCAGGCUAUGUUUACGUCCAGAUUGAGACUUUAUCUCUUUUACCUCUUGUCUGCAUGGAAUACAAUAAGAAAAGGAUAAAAACAAUCCAAAAAUUCAUUAAAAAUUCAAAUAAAAUACACAAGGAUCUGCAAAUUAUAUAUUUAGGGUGUUCAAGCAAAUACUGGGUGAAGGGGGGAGCGAAAAGGAAAAAGAAAAAAGGAUAUAGUAAGCGAGACAAAGCACUGAUAACACCAGACCACUAAAUACACCGAAAAACACUCCAGAUCAACAAGAAUUUACGAAAAAUGCAUUGUGAUAAUAUUUAUAAAUCACGUAAAUUCCAGCUCAGUAUAUACAAUGAAAAUAUAAAGGGGAACAUAAUCACCACAGAAGAAUAAUAACAAUUCAGAUGUUAUAAAGUAACCAUCUGUUACAAUCACUUUGGUUUUGUGUGGAAUUAACUUUGCAAAGAAAAAGAAAAUUAAGAGUAAUGACACUUCGAGGGGUCAAUCUCCUCCGUAAGACUCAAGUCUUAUUCUGAGUUCUUUUAAUGAUUUUUAUUCAAUAAUCAAUUGAAAUUUAAAUACAAGAAUUUGCUAACUAAAUCCAAGAAACAAGGAAAUAAUAUCCAAAGCAAUCAAGAAAGUUUUGGACUCGCUCUUACCAACUACACACACUCAAAACAAAUUAAAAAAUAAGGUUGACGUAAUCUUUACGUUUAUUGCCCACCAAACUCCAUACUUCUAAGUAAUGGCUCUGCACGUGCCCCAAUCAACUAAUACUUGCCUGCAACACCAUCAUUCAAGCACUCUAUGCUUGAUUCAAGUAACAAUAUUUUUGCCUUAAAAAUGAAAAUGGAUGUUUUGAUAACACAUGCAAAACUGUCUUCAGCACAGUGUACUUGUGUGCCUCACUCCUAAAAGAACAUGAGUACAACUGAGUAGUCUAUCAUGUUUUAUAAAGGAGAAGAAAAAAAUAACCAAAAGCAAAAGCAAUGUGAUAGUAAAGUUACUCUAGUCUACGCACUCCAUCAACAGUUUUCGUUUUGAUCAUUUUUAAGUAAAAUUCAUCUGGAUUCCUAAACGCUGCCUUCUAUUUGAGUCUCUGUACAAGCAAACACAGGAAACAAACCUUAGCCAUGCAUAAGCACAAACAAUUUUUGAGAGUCAAUAAUGGUAGCCAAAGACAUGUUACCUGUAAAGUCUCCUCUUUACGGUAAUCAUUAAUUGAAUAAUUAGUAAUUCGUUAAAAAAUUCAAAUAAAUUAAUUGUAUUAUCUCACUAACAAAUUAAUGAAUAUCACAUUAUUUAGGAUAGAUUUCUUAGAUAAAAAAUUCGGAGGGUGUAGCACUACUCAUGACAAUGUGGGGACUUGAUAAUAUUAAUAAUUUAGACUUUGAAGAAUAAAUAAAAAUAUUACUCAGUUAUAAAAAAAAAAAAGAAAUAUUACUUAAUUAAAUUAACUAAAUGCUAUUUAAGAGAUAAAUAAAAUAUAAGGUAAUUUCCAUCAUUUUAAUUUACAGUGCAUCCUAAUUAAGAUGGCACUAAUUGAACUAGCUAUCACGUUUGUCUACCUUGAAGUGGAUAUGGGCAAUUUAGUUUUCAACUUGGACGAAAAAGCAAAAAAUAAAAAUAAAUAAUAAUUGUUUUAUUGAGAUUUUGGAUGACCCCAAAUAAAACAAUAAAAUAGUGAGAAGGGAUGGAUAUUGAAAGGAGAGAGGCUUCCUUGUUAUGUUUGGAGGUGUUAUAGAUAAGAUGAGGGAUGGUAAAAGGAGAAAUAAGUGAUCAAAAUAAGACUAAGAACCACCAUAACUUGAUCUUGGCAUAUCCUGCAAAUCAAAGCACACACAAACGUUUAUACGUUAGAGGUGGAGCAGGCGGUGCCGACAAUCGCAUUCCGACGCCUAAGUAAGACUUUGAGCAAUAAGGGAUUGCCUCAAGGUCGAAAUUAGACCUUGAAGCUGAUAAAAAAUGACAAAAAUGAUUUGUGUAUCCUUUGAGGAAGAGAGUGAUAGCAAUGUUUUUGGUUGAAUCAAAG